UACAGAGGGUGCAAGCGUUGUUCGUAAUUAUUGGGCGUAAAGCGCGUGUAGGCGGCAGUGCAAGUCGGGUGUGAAAGCCCUCGGCUCAACCGAGGAAGUGCGCUCGAAACUGCAUUGCUUGAGUACCGGAGAGGAUGGCGGAAUUCCCGAAGUAGAGGUGAAAUUCGUAGAUAUCGGGAGGAACACCGGUGGCGAAGGCGGCCAUCUGGACGGAUACUGACGCUGAGACGCGAAAGCGUGGGUAGCAAACAGG
rnacentral:rRNA from 1 species